rnacentral:rRNA from 1 species
GCAUAUCAAUAAGCGGAGGAAAAGAAAAACCCAACAGGGAUUACCUCAGUAACGGCGAGUGAAGCGGUAACAGCUCAAAUUUGAAAGCUAGCUCUUUUAGGGUUCGCAUUGUAAUUUGUAGAAGAUGCUUCGGGUGUGGCCCCGGUCUAAGUUCCUUGGAACAGGACGUCAUAGAGGGUGAGAAUCCCGUAUGUGACUGGGUGCUUUCGCUCAUGUGAAGCUCUUUCGACGAGUCGAGUUGUUUGGGAAUGCAGCUCAAAAUGGGUGGUAAAUUUCAUCUAAAGCUAAAUAUUGGCCAGAGACCGAUAGCGCACAAGUAGAGUGAUCGAAAGAUGAAAAGCACUUUGGAAAGAGAGUUAAACAGUACGUGAAAUUGUUGAAAGGGAAGCGCUUGCAACCAGACUUGCGCGUGGAUGAUCAUCCGAACUUCUGUCCGGUGCACUCUUCUACGCUCAGGCCAGCAUCGGUUUCGGUGGUGGGAUAAAGGCCUUGGGAAUGUAGCUCCUCUCGGGGAGUGUUAUAGCCCUCGGUGCAAUGCCGCCUACCGGGACCGAGGACCGCGCUUCGGCUAGGAUGCUGGCGUAAUGGUUGUAAGCGACCCGUCUUGAAACACGGACCAAGGAGUCUAACAUCUAUGCGAGUGUUUGGGUGUCAAACCCAUACGCGUAAUGAAAGUGAACGGAGGUGAGAACCCUUAAGGGUGCAUCAUCGACCGAUCCUGAUGUCUUCGGAUGGAUUUGAGUAAGAGCAUAGCUGUUGGGACCCGAAAGAUGGUGAACUAUGCGUGAAUAGGGUGAAGCCAGAGGAAACUCUGGUGGAGGCUCGCAGCGGUUCUGACGUGCAAAUCGAUCGUCAAAUUUGCGUAUAGGGGGCGAAAGACUAAUCGAACCAUCUAGUAGCUGGUUCCUGCCGAAGUUU